rnacentral:rRNA from 1 species
GAUGAACGCUGGCGGCGUGCUUAACACAUGCAAGUCGAACGAUGAAGCCCAGCUUGCUGGGUGGAUUAGUGGCGAACGGGUGAGUAACACGUGAGUAACCUGCCCUUAACUCUGGGAUAAGCCUGGGAAACUGGGUCUAAUACCGGAUAGGAGCGUCCACCGCAUGGUGGGUGUUGGAAAGAUUUAUCGGUUUUGGAUGGACUCGCGGCCUAUCAGCUUGUUGGUGAGGUAAUGGCUCACCAAGGCGACGACGGGUAGCCGGCCUGAGAGGGUGACCGGCCACACUGGGACUGAGACACGGCCCAGACUCCUACGGGAGGCAGCAGUGGGGAAUAUUGCACGAUGGGCGCAAGCCUGAUGCAGCGACGCCGCGUGAGGGAUGACGGCCUUCGGGUUGUAAACCUCUUUCAGUAGGGAAGAAGCGAAAGUGACGGUACCUGCAGAAGAAGCACCGGCUAACUACGUG